UAACGCCUCCUUUGCGUGCCAUGGUCCUGAUGGAUGGAACAGCCCUCUACAUUUUGAUGGGGGCAAGAAAUAAAUCUGCCUGAGGGAAGAGGCAACACAAAUGAGAGCUUGUAAUGUAACACCACUGGCAAAAUUCUAACACUAUUUCCCAGUAUGCCUGGAGAUGAAUUACAGAGUCUCUGCAAGAACCAGUCUUGUCCAUAACACAUCCACAUCUUACUGAAAUCUGGGAGGAAGGAGUGUGGUGGUCCUUCUAGGUGCCAGCUUGUGGAAAGUUAAUGUUAGACUUUCUGAACAGCUAUCAAAUCUGUUGGACACACACACACUCCACAUCAAAAGUUGUCAAAAGGGGCAAACUGUGCACAAUUGUGCAAGACUUCAUUUGGAAGCCAAAUAAAAACCACUUAAAUCCGGACAGAAGAUCUCUGCGUUUUCUGACCCAACAGAUUUAAUAUCACAGAAGAAGAGGUGAUUCUGGCUG